rnacentral:lncRNA from 1 species
AGAAUGCAGACAGAGAAAGCAAGAACGAGGAGACAGUGGAAGAUGAGGAAAGAUAGAGAAAGGCUGAACAGACAGGAACCCCCGAGUGUGAUGAAACGAGAGCUAAGAAACUGCGAGCCUGACCGGCGCGGGCUUUGGGCACAGAGGAGCCAGGAGGUCGGAGCAACCCCAGCUGUCAGUCUGGAACAAAGGCCGGGGAGAGAGCAGGACAGGGUGCAGGCAGUGCGGGCCAAUGAAUGUCGUUGACUCUGGCCCCGCCCCACUCGUGCCCCGCCCCACCCCGCCCCGCCGGCGGCCAGGGACCCAGCGCAAGGGCCAGAGCGCCCGGACGAGCUGGCGGGCUCUGGGAGGCUCCGACAAGCUCACAGUCCGAAAGUUUCUCUGUCUUUCUGCUGCUCCUGGGAGUGUGACUUGAGCGACGCGGGAUCCGCCGGCUCUAGGAGCCCUCCAGAAAAAGAGAAAGGGGCACUGCACAAAAUACACCGAAAAAUCAAAAUCUGCAGCCAUUUGCAGCUAUCCCCAAGGCGGAGGAGGACAGACAGU